GCCGAUGCGUUAUGUAUGGAAUUCAAGUGUGUCACAUAAUCAUAAAAAAGUAAAAUAUAAAAUUUAAAAAGAGCUUUAUAUAUUUAUAUUUAAAUAAAAUCUUUCCAACUAUAAUGAAAGUUUCUAAAUAACGUAAAAAUACGAAGGAACAUCUGUUGGUCAGGCUGAAAAGUUUGGUAACCACUGCUCUAAGUGAUAAGUGAAUAUUGUUAUUUAAAUAACUCCUCCCAUGCCUGGGUUUUUGCCUUAGCGACCACCCGAGCAGCAUUCCGCUCGGACUGCCGGUACCCAUCAGCUACCUCUGGAAUCCCACAGGUCAAAAAGACCUUCAGCUUGACAGCAUCCCUAACCGCCGGUGUCCACCAGCGGGUUCGGGGGUUGCCACCACGACAGGCACAGACGAUCCUGCGACCACAGCUCCGGUCAGCCGCCUCAACAAUGGAGGCACGGAACAGGGUCCAUUCAGACUCAAUGUCCCCCGCCUCCCCCGGAACAUUUUGGAAGUUCUGUCGGAGGUGGGAAUUGAAGCUCCUUCUGACAGGAGACUCUGCCAGACGUUCCCAGCAGACCCUCGCGAUACGUUUGGGCUUGCCUGGUCUGACCGGCAUCCUCCCCCACCAUCUGAGCCAACUCACCACCAGGUAGUGGUCAGUUGACAGCUCCGCCCCUCUCUUCACCUGAGUGUCCAAGACAUGCAGCCGCAGGUGGAACAACAACAAAGUUGAUCAUCAAGCUGCGGCCUAAGGUAUCCUGGUGCCAAGAGCACAUAUGGACACCUUUAAGUCUGAACAUGGUGUUCAUUAUGGACAAUCCACAGCCUGGACCUGGUUCUCUCUUUUGGUCUCCCUGUUAUGAACCUUGUAACUUUGCCUCCUGUGUUCUCUGACCAUUCUCCAAUACUCGUGAAGUUACUUUGCCAUGUCCUGUCCCUGUGUGUGAAGCACCAGCUACUAGGUUCAGAGCCCUGGAUGCAGAAACUGUUGCAAUGUUCAUGGACUGUAUGUCUGUAAGGUUAGAGACCUUUAACCCAGAUCCAUCUAACAUUAAUCACUAUUCACAACACUUUGAUUUACUUUUUAAUCAGGUCCUGGAUGUGGUUGCCCCUCUCAAGCUUUGCAAGUCUAGGCCUAGGAGGGAGGCUUGGCUCUCUGAUGUCACACGGGCUUGUAGAUCCUCUGAGAGAAAGUGGAAAAAGGAUGGCCUACAGGUCUUGCGUGAGUUGUUCAGAGCAUCUCUGGUUGCUUAUCAGGAUGCAGUGAGGGUUUCUAGAACUGCAUAUUUUGCAGACAUCAUUGAAACAAACUCUAAGAAUCCCAAGAUUAUCUGCAAAACACUGAACUCUGUUCUGGUGUAUCAGGAGUAGAGCUGAAACAACUAAUCGAUUUAAUCGAUUAUAAUCGAUUAUUAAAAUAGUUAACUUUUUUAGUCAUCGAUUAGUUGUUUAAUAAUCAUAUUUUACCGCAUAAAGUCUAUUUUUACCACAAUCUGACAUCGGUUACAAUCUGUUAAAUUUGCCGCCAGUGUGUGGCAGUAAUGAGCCACUGAUCUACCAGUGGAGCCGUAGAAGAUGAAAUGAGCCAAUGAGUGCCCUCGGUUUUCAUGACGUAUCACGUUACUGACGCUCAUCUUGCUGUGAGAGAUGGCGGAACAAGAAGAAAUACGGAAGAAAAAUAGAAGCGACAAAACUGAAGAGAAACCCCAGACUUCACUCUAGAUGCCUUGAAAAGACGGGUGACCUGCAAAAUAUGCAAAAACCAUCUAGCAUGGCACGGAAGCACGACGUCCCUAAGUGAACAUUUGAGACGAAAACAUGUGGGAGCUGAUGCAGCAGAGGAAGAGCACCGCGGUCAAGUGAGCCGUCAUUUGGAAGAGCCAGCCCGAAAAAAACAAGCAACGAUGGACAACUACAUGGGGAACAAGACACUCACCCCCCAGCAAUUCAUACCACUUACAAACUCUAUUCUAAACAUGCUGGUAAAAGACAUGAGGCCACUACCCAUGGUGGAAGGAGCAGGCUUCCAGCUAAUGCUAAAAAAUUAUUCUGGACUGAUAUUUUGCACUGUUUAGCUCAUUUUAUACUGCUGACUGUUCAUGUGCAAUAAAAUAGAUUGCAGUCAACUGCACAA